GGGCAUAUAUGAUUCCUUACAUGUCAUUGAUAUCUUAAAAAGUAAAAUACUACUGAGGAAAUAUUGAGUGAAUAACUGUAUUACUUGAUGGAUAUCAGACAAGGAGGCUUUGCCUUGGGAAGCUGAUGUGCCUGUGAAAUCCAGGAUGUCAUCGAUCAACUGAUAUGCUAUGCCCUGGAAGAGAGAGUGUAGGUCAUUUUAACAGUUCAUUUGUCUAGCAAAAAUAGGAACAGCUUCUGUCUAUGGAAAAAUACAACACACCAAGUGUCUGCCAUACUGAUAAGCAAGAGCUUGUACUUCUGUUGUUUGCUCAGCGAGGACAGCAAUAGCUUUGCAGCUGUCUUGUAGUAUGUCUUCUGCAAAUAAUAGUCCAUGUUGUACAAGCAUCCAUGAACAGGUGUCACAUUUGAAAGCAUAUAUGGCUAGGGAAAUUGUAUUUUGAUUAUGAAGGUGCAUAGCACGUACAUAUACAUAGGAUAGUGUCCUAGGGUUAGGAGGAGCCCUUGCCUAUGCUACAAUAAACCCUGGCGCCUGACCUGACUGGGGCCGGUGGCAUAGCACAGGCGCCUAUCAAGGGGCCGGCCGCACAUGGGCCUAGCCGGGCUCUAGCCCAAUUACACAUAUUCUAACGUGCUCCCGCAGUCUAAUCGUCGGUACCACAAAUGUUCAGACUGGAUCUAAAAUCUGUAAAUACAGAAGAAGGCAACCCCUUGGUGAAGACGUCGGCGUACUAAGAUGAUGUGGGAACAUGUAGUACUCGAACGUCACCCAUAGCAACGCCCUCCCGAACGAAGUGAAGAUUGAUCUCAAUAUGUUUGGUGCGCUGAUGCUGAACCAGGUUGGAGGACAUGUAGACCGCGUUGAUAUUGUCACAAUACACCAAGGAGGCGCGGCGAAGUGGGGCAUAGAGCUCCUGAAGAAGCUGGCACAGCCAGGUAGCUUCGGCGAUGGCAUUUGCCACGACGCGAUACUCAGCUUCGGCACUGGACUUGGAGACGGUGUGCUAUCGCUUGGAGGACCAAGAAACCAGGUUGUCGCCAAGGAAGACCGCAUAGCCGGAAGUGGAUUUGCGAGUGUCUGGACAGCCUGCCCAAUCAGCAUCAGAGUAUACCACCAGUGAAUCCUGACCUGAACACGGACGCAGCAGUAGGCCGAGAUGGAGAGUGCCACGGAUGUACCAGAGGAUGCGCUUCAGGGCAGCAAGGUGAGGCUCUCGCGGAUCAUGUGGAGACAGACUUGCUGAACGGUGUAGGCAAUAUCCAGCCUGGUGAAAGUGAGAUACUGCAAAGCGCCGGCGAGACUGUGAAAAUCCGAGGCAUUGGUGACAGGGGCACCUGAAGCAGCCGACACCUUGGGAUUGGUGUCAAUGGGAGUGGAGCACGGCCUACACUCAGCCAUGCCAGCACAACCCAGGAUAUCAAGCAUGUACUGCCGAUGAGACAACAGAAAUCCUCCACCAACAACAGGCUGCACACACAUACCCAGGAAGUGAUGAAGAGGCCCAAGAUCCUUCAUAGAGAACUCCCACUGCAAAGCCUGAAGAAUCUGUCGAAGCAAUGUUGGGGAAGAAGCCGUGAGUACAAUGUCAUCAACAUAGAGCAAGAGAUACGCGAUCUCGGUGCCUCGGUGAAACACAAACAGUGAGGUGUCAGACUUGGCCUCCACAAAGCCAACAGACUGAUAAUAAGCUGCAAACUAACUAUGCCAGGUGCGAGGAACUUGCUUCAGGCCGUACAGAGACUUGUUGAGGCGGCAAACGAAGUCUGAAUGAGCAGAAUCCUCAAAACUAGCAAGCUAACCACAAUACACAGUCUCAGAAAGAGUGCCAUGGAGAAAUGCAUUCUUGACAUGUAGCUGGUGAACAGGCCAGUGAUGAGAGAGUGCAAAUGAUAGAACUGUCCAGACAGUAGCAGGCUUGACGAUCGGACUGAAAGUCUCAUCAAAGUCCACCCCUGGCCACUGAGUGAAGCUGCAAAGAACCCAUCGAGCCUUCUACCAAUCAAGAGAGCCAUCCGAAUUGAACUUGUGCUUGAAUAUCCACUUACCAGUGACAAUAUUAGCACGCGAUGGACGAGGCACAAGCUUUCAUGUGUUGUUCUAGAGAAGCGUUGCAUGCUCAUCUUCCAUAGUAGCCCACCAAUUAGGAUCAAUGAGGGCACUGCGGAAGGACUUUGGAACCAGAGACAACAGCGCAAUGUGGAACAGAAUAGGCUGACAGAACCCAAGCAUGGCACGGGUGGUCAUGCCAUGCUGGUUGAUGACGGGCGGAACAGCGACAGGUCCUUUGGGAAGGACCGGAGCAUGAGCUCCUGGAUCGGCACCUAGUGCGCUGGUGGUAGGGCUGGCGUCAAAGGCUGGCAGCGGUGACGGGAGAGGAGGGGCGGCGGAGCGGCACGUGUAGAUGAAGCGGAGUGGCGUCGAGUCGAAACCAGGAGGGACCCAUGGAGCCAGGGGGCAAACCGGAGCUGGGGACCCACCAGGCGACGACGCUCCAGGGGCACUAGCGGGAACUCCAGGGGACGCGCCAGGGACGCUAGUGGGAACUCCGGGGACGCCAACGGGGGCGCCGGGGUGACACCAGGAGGCGCUGGUGGGCUCUGGCGAUGCACCAGGGGUGCCAACGGGGGCGGAUGAUGUGCCAGGGCCGCGAAGGGGCACUAGUAGGGGUGCCGGGGCGACGCCGGGGGCGCCGAGGCGGCGCUGGGAGGCGCUAGUAGGGGCGUCGGGGCAACACCAGGAGGCGCCGGGACGGCGCCAGUGGGUGUCAAGAGGGGCACCAUAGGGGGCACAGCGAGGGGUGCUGACGGUGCCAGUGGGACCUGAAGGCAAAGUGGGCUGUCAAGUUCCGUUGGGAACCGGCACAUGGUCAGUAGCGUCGUCCAAAAGACUGUAAUCCACCGGGGAAUGUGGACAGGAAUUCUCAGCAUAGGGAAAUGAGGACUCAUCCAAGUUGACAUGUCGGGAGAUGAUGAUUCAGUUAGAACCAAAGUCAAAACAGCGGUACCCUUUAUGAUGAGCAGAAUAUCCAAGAAAAAUACACGAGGUGGACCAUGGUGCUAACUUGUGACUAACUGUGGUGGAAAGGUUGGGAUAACAUCUACAACCAAAGACGCGGAGGUGAUCAUAGGACGGUGCAGUGCCGUACAACGCCUCAUGUGGAGUGCGAAAAGCAAGGGUCUUGGUAGGUAGCAUGUUGAGCAGAUAUGUCGUGGCGUGGAGAGAUUUGACCCAAUAGUGAGGGGGAAGGCUUGCUUGGAAGAGGAGGGAGCGGAGGAUGUUGUUCGUAGUGCAAAUGAUCCGCUCAGCUCAACCGUUUUGCGGCGACGUGUAUGGGCAUGACAUGCGGAAGUGGACACCACGGGAGAGAAAGAACGUGCGGGCGCUGGAGUUGUCAAACUCGUGAUCGUUGUCGCACUGGACGGCCUUAAUGGUGGCGCCAAACUGUAUAGUCAUGAAGGAAAAGAUGUUAGCAAGAGUAUCAAACGUGUCAUAUUUCAACCGCAGGGGAAAACUCAAGGAAAAAUGAGAGCAAUCAUCGAGAAUAAUCAAGUAGUAUUUAAAACCCGAGAUGCUAGGAAUAGGUGACGUCCAAAGAUCACAAUGAAUAAGAUUAAAAAUCCUAGAGGCUCGAGAGGAGGACACCUGAAAGGGAAGACGGGUGUGUCGUCCGAGCUGACACACAUGACAGAGAGACGAGCUAAUGUCUUUAUUACAUGACGGUAAAAUGUGCGCAAGACGGGAAAGGGCGUCCAUCCCGGGAUGGCCGAGACGGUGAUGCCAGACCAUAGAGGUGGCGCCAACAGUGAGAGCAGCAGCAACAGGGAGGUGCAAGGGGUAUAGUGGACCCGAACUAUUGCACCUGACGAUCACGUUCUUGGAUCGAAGAUCCUUCACAGAACAACCAGACCGGUCAAAUUCAAUUGAGCAGUUGUUAUCGGUAGUAAAUUGGCGCAUGAAAAUAAGAUUCUUAAUAAACUUGCGGGAAACAAGGACAUUAUUAAGAUGCAAAGAACCGAGAAGAAUAGUUGUGCCAGUAGAAGUGACAGGAAGUAAAGAACCAUCAUCGACAACAAUAGCUGAAGGACAAGGGUACCACUGGGUGAAAUUGUGCAAAAAGGAAUGAGCAUCAGAGGUCAUAUGGGAGGUAGCACCUCAGUCGAAGUACCACUCAUGCUGUUGCGGCUGGUUCAGCGUCAUAGUGAUGAAGGUGGAGGCAAGGGACUGCUGAUCCCACGAUGGCGUGCUGGCGGCGGUGCUCAAGUGGCCAAAGGGCUGGUACGGCGCUUGCUGCAGGGCCUGCGCCAGGGCGGCCUGGUAUGUCUUGGCCUGCGCCUGGGCAGCCUGCAACUAGGCGGCCUGCAGCUGGGUGGCCUCGAACUGGGCCACUUGGAACGCCUGGAGCUGCAUCUGCUAUGCAUGCGUCGAGUACUGGGCCAACAUGGCAUGAGGGUGUGCCCCAGCCUGCUGAACGCGCGCACUGGGCCACAUCUGGAUGGCCCCAGUCCACGGGUUCUGGAAGGAGGGCCAGGGGGCGACAUCGGAGGAGCCCUGGGAGGCGCCCUGCUUGGCGCUGCUGGGGAGGGGGCGCUGGCCGGCGUCGCCACCACUGCAGGAGUUGCCGCCCUUGGAGGUCCGGCCGCCGAAGUUGCGCUUGCUGCGACGAGGCUUGGAGGAGCCACUCCCGGAGCGGUGUUGCUGUGGGGGCUGGGGUGGCUGAGCCAAAUGCGUGGGGGUGCCUAAGCCAGCAGUGAGGAGAGCGGUGGAGUCUCGUGGUUGUUGAGAAACUGGGAUUCAACGGCAAGCCAGACGGAGCCGGCGGUGGCGCCGAGCGCCAUCAUGAUGCCGGCGAGGUCGUUGGAGAGGGUGCAGUAGAUCCAAGACCGGAUGACACAAUCCAUCCGCGCCCAAUCUGGAUGACCAGGGAGGGGACGGUCCUGAAGGAUGUGGGCGUCGAGGGAGAACUUCCCGACCAUGAGCAGGAACUGCUCGUGCCAGCAAGCAUAGUUGGUGGAGGUGACGUCAAGGACAAUCAGGACGAAGCUGUGGAUGUUCUGGACCGCAACAGCCUGGGCGUGUAGGUUCAGGAUGGCGGUGACCUUGUGGAGUAGCAUGGCGUCGUGGACGGAGGGGACGACACGGCUCUUGUGGUCGUCAUCAUCGUCGAGGUGGACACGGUUCUUGAAUCUGCUCAAUCCAGAACAAGGUUAUCCAAGUUUUUAGUAGAUAGAUUAGCACCAAUGAUCUAUUUAAUUGUGAUUGGCAUUAUAUUAAGUAGUGAAUACUUUUCCUGGACUUUGAUUUGAUGAUAGUUGAUGAAAAGUAACGUCAGUACAUAUCCACUCUAAGCUAAACAGCUACUUGCACGCAUAUGAAGAGUUAAAGAAUGAAGUGAGCAUAACAACACAUUCUAAGGCACUAAUCUGCUACCUCCACACUGACCCCACAUCAUAUCUCAAACUUAUCAAAGUUUAUGGGUGCAAUAGCUUGAUGCAAGAAAAUGAUAAAAUGAAUAGGAUAUGUACCUGCAGCGCUGUGCUGGAGUUAUUGACAUCUGCAUAAGCUCACCAGUAACAAGAUUAUUUACAGCAGUUGCUAGUAAUGAUACAACCUGCAGAAUUAAAAAUAAUUCCGGUAUCUUGACGUUAUGAACAUGCAAAAGAUACAGACUGGAAAGGAACUGACAUAAUCUGAUGUUGAAAGAAAUGGGCGAAGAUACAGAGUGACAUGGCAGCUCACAAGCUAAAAACUAAAGUGAUUUUGUUCUUUCAGUUGUAUUUUUUUAGCCCCCACUCAUAGUCUAUUUUAUCCUCGAUAGCAAUAUUCCCAACAAAGUCAAACAAAGAUGAAGGAAAAUAAUAUAACUUGUUAGCCUUUACAAAGGAGAAACAUCUCACCUCAGUAUUGUCAAGAGACACAGCUGCAGAAAAUGCCCUGAAAAGUAGGAAAUCGCCAGCCAAUACUGCAAGCUGCAGGGUAGCAUCAGCUUUACUAACUGUUAUAAGGUAUUGUGAAUAUGACACAAGAUAUAGUUUGACUUGCAUUUUGCCAAGUUUACAGCAUGGCUUGGCGUUGCUUCCUUUUAUUUCUUUUAGAAGAACACUAGUCCAUCAACCCGUGCUCCCGCACGGGCUAAUAUUUUCAGAAGCUAUUGUAUUUGAAAAUUAUUUAGAAAAAUUAAACUCCUAGCUAAUAAUCAAAAUUAUUUACCUACCACUCUCUUAUUUUUCAAUACUUAUAUAGAUAUAUGUAUCUAUCUUUGUCUAGUUGUGAUUGAUUUUUAAUUAAUAAUUACUCUAUGCACGUUUUCAUCCAUAUUCGUACUUUUUCCAUUUUGUAUCACACAUCCAAUCCUCCAUACAUUAUGUUUAGCAUACAAAUCAAUAUUUUUCAUCGAUUCCUCACAUACAUGUAUAAAUAGUCUAAAUGGUGGCACUCAUCAUGUGUAUAUACUUUAACUUAGUAUGUUUUAUAUUAAUAAUGACAUAAAUAGGUAAUUUAGAAUCAUAUAUUAGUUUACUUUUUGAUAUUUCUGUAUGAUGCACAUGAAGAUAAUUAGAUUAAUAUUUAGGUGUUUACUUUAGGUUAUUUUUAAUAACGACAUACAUGGGUAACAUAGAUAAAAUUUUAGAAUGACAUUUUAAGUUAUGCUUUAUAAUUAUGUGUAUUAGUAAAUUGGAUGAAGAUUUAUAGGGUUACUUUAGAUUAUUUUUUAUAAUAGCUAAGCUCAGUAAUUUAGAUAUAGGUUUAGAGCUCAUUUUUAAAUAUUUUCACAAUGACAGUGGUGGGUAACUUUUUAGAAAAUAUAAUAGAUCAAUGGCUAUGAUUAUUAGAGUUUACAGGAUUUGUGUUUGAUGUUUUUAACUUUUAUGAGAAUUUAUCUCUUUUUUCUAGCUUGUCUCGUGGGAACUAUUGUGGAGUCUCCAAUGGAGAAAAAAAUAAGACUACACUGCUACAAAACUAUUAUCAUAAGCUACCUCUCGUUUGUUAAAUAUUCGACCAUAAUAUUUAUGUAGAUAUAUAUUUAAUAUCUUCAUCCAAUUGUGAUCGAUUUUAGUUAGUAAUUACUCUAUAAUAUUUUCAACCGCAUUUAUAAUCUUUAACUUUUCACUUUGCAUCGCAGGUAUACGCCUGAAUUUAUUUAAUGAACCCUAAGUUUGAGAUACAAUUUUAGCAUAGAAAUCUAUAUUAUCAUCAUUUUAUAUCCUUAUAAAUGGUGACACACAUCAUGCGUAUAGACCUUAAUUGUUAUAUCGUAUACCAAUAGUGAAAGAUAUAGACAAUUUAGAAUCAUAUAUUGCUGUAUAUUUUUAAUUAAGGUUAUUUGAUUCAAAUGUAGGGUUACCUCAUGUUAUUUUUAAUAAUGGCAUAUGUGGGUAAUAUAGAUGCAAAUUUAAGGGUUUACUUUAAGUUUAAACUUAAGUAAUAGUGGUAGGCAAUUCAAUUGCAAAUUAGGGGGUUAUUUUAAAUAUUGUUUAUAAUGGCAUAAGUAGGUAAUUUGGAUGAAGAUUAGGAGGUUACUUUAGUUUAUUUUAUAUAAUGGCAAAGGUGGGUAAUUUAUAUAUAGAUUUAGGGGGUUACUUUAGGCUAUUUUCAUAAUAGCAUAGGUUGGUAAUUUUUUAGAAAACAUAAUAAAUCCAAUGGCUAUGAUGAUUUGAAUCUAUCGAUUGAUGGUUGGAUGUUUUGCUUUUUUUUAAGAAUUUCUCUCUUUUUCUAGAGUGUCCACAUAGGAAUCCUAGGUGGCUUCACCUGAAAGCUUUAAAAGGAGCCUCCAAUUAGUAACAGUAAGAUGGUCCAUACUUACGAGAUGAAGAUGUGCAAAAUAAACAGAUACAACUAUUAUCAUUAUUCAUUUUCAGAGGUAUCAAACAGAAAAAUGGGCUUACUUGCACAUUAAAUAAGAAAUUUUUUAUAUUUUGGUCUCUAAGAACUACGGGGAAAAAGGCUAAACCAAAAUACUUUAAUUGAGCUACUGAACAGCAACUCAUUGAUCUCCACAUGUUUAUAUGUCCAUAUUUAAGAAUACAACAUUAAAUUAAGAUCCCUUGAAUUUUCUUUUCCAUUAAAAUUUUAUGAUUUUUUUCUCGAACAACACAGGAUGAGCAAGCAAGCAGGCUCAAGGAUGUUGUAAGCCUCUACUGGCCCGUCUGUCAGCAAUCCAAAGUCUUUGUUUAAUAGCUAACCAAAUGAAAAAUUUACAGCAUAGGGGGGCCCAACUUCUCUAUAUUAUUUUCCAAGGAAUAAACUUAAUAGAUCCCACAAAAAAGGCCUCAUAUGCAGACUUACUGGAGUAUAAACCAGAUUGGGUCAGUUUCCAAAUGUAUUGGUCAGGAGUAUCUUGUUGCAGCUGGACACCAUCCAAUUGGUCCCAUAAUAAUAGGUACACCAUCACGACUUCCACAAUGAGUCGUCCCCUGAUAUCAGUGACCCACCGCCUAUUAGAGAGGGCCUGAGCGACAGUUCUAGUCUUGACAAUUCUUUUAGGGAUGGUUUGGAACCAGUUUGGAGCAGUUUCGGCUAUGGUUUUGCCCUCCAACCAUCUGUCUUUCCAAAAAAGAAUUGAUUCACCAUUACCUACUAUCAGCGUGCCACUUUGAAGACAAGUCAAAGUAGCCAUAUUAAACUAUUUGGCCCUAAAUAUACAAGUUAGCCAUUGUAGAAAAAGUAUAUGAUAUUACUUUCUUCCCCACUUUGAAGUUCAAUGAGUCCAUGGCACGCCUAGUAUCAGCAUCGUCCAAAACGUCAUCAUGAAUAAGGCUCGAUAUCUAAGAUGUAAGGGAGAAGACAAGUCACUAAAACAAAUAUUUCUGAAUGUUUCGGAAAGUGGAAUGAAACAAGAUGCCUAAGAUGCGUACAUGAAUCAUUUCAGUUAUCUCAGCAUGCAUACGCCUUCACCAUUGCAGAAACCAUGCACGAGCUGCGGCUUCUCCAGAUGGGAGGCAACCGCCUGACCGACAAAGGCGUCUAUGCUAUCCUGAAGGGCUGCCCUCGUCUCAAGUUCUUUGACAUCUCCGAAUGUUACAAUGUUAGCAAUGAACUCCGUGCUCGCUGCACCAAGAUUAAACAUGUUUGGUUGCCUGGACAACGGCCUAUUGUCCUGGACAACGGCCUAUUGUCCAGGGGCGGAGCUACAGGGUAUGCUGCAUAUGCUGCAGCAUACCUUGUUUUUCCACCAAGGUAAUUACUAUACAUACAUAUUUUAUAUAAAGAAAAAAGAAAAUGGAAGCGAGAGAGCAGGUUGCAGGACAGCAGAGGAGGCCGACUCGUGCAGACUUGCGAUUCCACCGUCAGGCCCACGCGGCCCACACGGAUUGCGACCUCCUCACGCAACGGACUCCAGGUCUCCAGCACACGGCAGUUCGGCUUUGUCUCUUCGUGCGGCUUGCGGCGCGGCGUACAGCGUGCCCUACCCGGAAUCUGCAGACCGCCGACUGCUGAGACGGAGAGAUGAGACGGAGACGCCAUCACACGACGGCAAUACUACUUAGUCGAUUGCCAGCCGGAAGCAGGCAGCAGCGAGCCAGCGGCCAGUCCAGGCAUCCAGCAGCAGCCAGCAGGGCGCAGGCCAAUAAUCGUUCAAGAUCUCGAGAAACACUGGCAUCUGGUGAAUUAUUUGUUCUACGUUCUUUGGCUUUUAUAAAAACAUCUUUAUUCAUGUAUGAUUUAAUUACUAAUUGCUUAGCCCUAAAUUAUAGAUUCAUCUAGCACGCAACAAGGUGGAGGAUUUUACCCUACAGAAAAGUCGAUCUAGAUUGAUCUUUUGUUCUGGACUCGUAUCAUGUGAGUGAUCCAUAAUCACUUGUGUCAGUUCAAUCGUGUACAAGCACAAUUUAUUUAAUUGUUUGGUGUUGUGUUCUUUGUAAUAUUUAAACAGUUAUGAAGAGAGACGGGAACAUUGCAUCUCUUUUUCAGAAGCAUGAAGCAAAGAGGAAGGCAGCAGCAGCUGCUGCUACUUCUAAUCGUUCUUCUGAUCCGGUUGUACCUGUGGUGGAAGAGCAAACUCGUGAGAGAGUAGUUGAGGAAAUUGAAACUCAUAUCCUAGCGCCACCACCACCGCCCCCACCGCAGCCGUCUUCUGUGCCACCAGUUUAUGACAUCAAUCGCCUUCCACAAGAUCCAGGUGAAAGACGUCCCAUUCUUAGUUAUCCUACUAAUGAUCAAGAUGCAAUUCGAAGAGCAUAUAUUACUAAAGGUCCAUUCAAGCCUUUUGCACAUGAUUUUCCGAAAACAAAGAUUUCAGGAAUAAAUCGUCAAUUCAAUUAUUGUUGGAUGUACAAUCAUGAAUGGAUUGAAUAUAGUAUUAAAAAGGAUGCUGUAUUUUGCUUUAUAUGCUACUUGUUCAAGAAGGGCACAGGGUCAGAGGCAUUUACUGUUGAUGGCUGGAAUAAUUGGAAUAUAGGAGAGAAGGCACUUCUCAAACAUUUGGGUUCCAAGUCACAUAUCGCAGCUCAAGAGAGAUAUAUUGGCUUUACAAAUCCCAAGGUAGCAAUUGAUUAUAAUAUUCAGAAGUAGAGUGAUGAGGAUCUUCGACUUUAUAAGAAAAGGUUGACUUAUUCACUUAGGUGUAUCAAGUUUCUUUUGCAUCAAGGGUUGGCGUUUCGUGGACAUGAUGAAAGUAAAGAAUCUAGCAACAGAGGGAACUUCAUUGAACUUUUGAAAUUUCUUGGCGGAAAUAGUGAAGAAGUGAAUAAGUAUGUUUUGGAGAAUGCUCCAGGUAACUGUACCUUAACUAGCCCAGACAUACAAAGCCCUUGUUUACUUUGCGAAUUUGGGAGGUGCCAAAUUACUGUAGCAACACUGUAGCGUUUCGUUUGUAUUUGUGAAUUAUUGUCCAAAUAUUGACUAAUUAGGCUCAAAAGAUUCGUCUCGCAAAGUACAAUAAAACUGUGCAAUUAGUUUUUGAUUUCGUCUACAUUUAGUACUCCAUGCAUGUACCGCAAGUUUGAUGUGAUGGGGAAUCUUCUUUUUGCAUAGUGCCAAAGUUGGGAGUUUUGUAGGAAGUGAACAAGGGCAAAAGCAAAUUAUUCACUGCUGUGCCCUAGAAACUAGAAAGAAAAUAAUUGAAGAACUUGGUGAUGAGCCUUAUGCAAUUUUAGCUGAUGAGUCUAGUGAUAUAUCACAUAAAGAACAACUAGCUCUUUGCUUGCGUUAUGUUGAUAAAUUGGGAAGGCCAUGUGAGCAUUUUAUUGGAGUUGUUCAUGUAGAUGAUACUACCUCUUUAUCACUGAAGAAUGCAAUUGAAGCUUUACUUUUAAGUCAUGGCUUGAGUUUGACUCAAAUCCGUGGUCAAGGAUAUGAUGGGGCUAGCAACAUGAAAGGAGAUAUUAAAGGGUUGAAAACAUUGAUCAUGCAAGAAUCACCUUCUGCUUAUUAUAUUUAUUGUUUUGCUCAUCAACUCCAAUUGGUUCUUGUUGCUGUUGCUAAAGGAAAUACUGAUUGUAGCUUCUUUUUUGAUCAAGUAUCUAUCUUGUUGAAUAUUGUUGGAGUUUCUUGUAAGCGCCAUGACAUGCUUAGAAAUGCAAGGCUUGAGAAUGUCAAGAAAGCACUUGACUGUGGUGAAAUUGAAUCUGGAACUGGAUUACAUCAAGAGAUGGGUUUGCCUAGACCUGGAGAUACUCGAUGGGGAUCUCAUUACAAAACCAUAUGCAGCAUCAUUACUAUGUAUGAAUCAAUCCACGAUGUACUGGUUGAUCUUGGGGAUGAUUCGACAUAUAAGGAUGAUUGGACCAAAAUACAUUUUGUGACGGGAGCAUUUGAGACCUUUGAGUUUGUUUUCUUUGCACACUUAAUGUAUAUUAUUCUUGGAUACACAAAUGAGUUAUCUGAGUGUUUGCAAAGAAGGGAGCAAGACAUUCUUAAUGCAGUAUCACUUGUUAAUGUGGCAAAGAAAAGAAUGCAAGAAUUGAGGUCAAAUGGCUGGGAUAAUUUUCUUGAGAGGGUCACCUCGUUUUGUGAUAAACAUGGUGUUGAUGUUCCUGCUAUGGAUGGUGAUUAUGUUCCUUAUGGAAAAUCAGCAAGGAAAUCUCGUGCUCGAAAGCAAACCAAUGAUGACCACUUUAGAAGAGAAGUAUAUAUUGGCGUCAUUGAUCAAAUAAGUCAAGAACUUGAUAAUCGGUUUGAUGAGAUUAACAUGGAGUUGAUGUCUUGUAUGGCAGCCUUCAAUCCUUCUAAUUCAUUUAAGUCUUUUGAUGCACAGAAGCUACGCAGACUAGCUAAGUUCUACCCAAAGGACUUCUCAAAUAAUAAUUUGCUCAGACUUGAAUUGCAGCUAGAUAAUUAUAUUGAUGACAUCAGGAAGGAUGAUAGAUUCAAAGGUCUAGACAAUAUUGUUGACCUCUCAUUUAAGCUUGUCCAAACAAAGAGGCAUAAAGUGUAUGAUAUGGUCUAUGAGCUUCUUAAAUUGGUAUUGCUUCUACCUGUGGCAACAGCAAGUGUUGAAAGGGUGUUUUCUGCAAUGGUUUUAGUGAAAACAAAGUUACGAAAUAAGAUGGGAGAUAGUCUUUUGGAUGAUUGUCUAGUCACUUUUAUUGAGCGAGAUAUUUUCUUUGAAGUUGAUGAAGAUGAUAUAAUUGAGUUAUUUAUGUCCCUUCGGAAGCGUCGAAUAAAAACGUCAUUAUAGUAACGUUGUAAGUCUCUGGUACUCUAUGCAUAUAUUUCAAUUAUCAGUUUGGCUUUGAAACUAUUUAUAUUGUAUUUAAUGGAUAUGGUUUCUACUUUAUCCAUGAAUUUAAACCUUAUUACCGAAUUGGUAAAUGGAUUUACCGAAUUGUGUAUCAUUUUUUUGGAUGCAUACCUUGACCUAAAAUCCUAGAUUCGCCACUGCUAUUGUUCUCUGCCCUGAUCAUCGUGUGACUGGAGAGAACGAAGGCAACAAUAAUGGGCUUAUGCUGCAUGAUCUCUGGGAAGCUGAAAUUCAACCUCUUCGUGGAGAGGCGGCAAUGGAUGAUGAUGCCUAUGAUGACAACUACUGGGAGGACUACUGGUCCCCUCUGUUUAUGCGCCCCAAGUUGCACAAUGUGACCUGUGAUGACUGGUGACACCAAGAUUUUACUUACAUCCAUAAUUAUCUGCGAUCAUUUCACCUCUGAAUGCUACAAUGUUGGGUUACGACCUCUGAAUGUUAUAAUCAUCUGCACCAAGAUUAAACAUGUCUGGUUGCCUGGACAAUGGCCUACUGUCCUCUGCUCUGGUCGUCGUGUAUCUGGAAAGAAAGAAGGCAAUGGCGUUGGGCUUAUGCUUCAGGGCCUUCGGGAAGCUGAGGUUUAACCUCUACUAUGGAGACUGGGCAUAGAUGUCUGGAUGACAAGACCUGUGUGUUGACAGCUAACUACUGGUCCCGUCUCGUAUCUGUGCCCAGAGUCGUGCAAUGUGACCUGUGAUGACACCAAAAUCUUUUUUACUUGCAUCCAUUACUGAUAGUCUCUGAUCAAUUCAUCUCUUUUUCAUAAAUACGCAGGUGAGCUGCGUAUCUUUGUAUUAAGCAGGAGAAAAUGUAUAGAACGUUAGCCCGCGCGCUUGCACACGAUUUUGUGAUACAUAAUCGAGAUUACAUGACAAACGCAAACCCCCAGAAAGAAAAAGAAAGACUUGCCGACUGUGUCAGGUUAUAAGCAGUCCUCCCGACGCCGACCGCGCGUUGAGGCCGCGCAUGAUCAAUUCGUCUCAAGUCCUAUACUGAAUAAUGAGGGGUUUGCGGAAGUCGUAAGUCGCCGCCGUAGUCUUGAAGUUUGCAGUUUGUAAAUCUGGUCUAUGUAUGAUACAUGUGUAGUUUGGAGCACUUCAGGUGUGGCUUAACGGCCAGCACUCAGUUAUAAAGUGCAGCAACAUUGUAUUUGCUGUUCUAGUCUGUAGUUCGGCCCAAAGCAGUGCUCUGUUUCCUGGGGGUGAGGCUGACUAUUUACAUGUGUAGUUUGGAGCAGUUCUGAGACCACACUAGACAAGUUAAACCCAAAUUUUUGGAGCAUGUUACUGGAAACAAAGAAAAGUACACUUUCAAUACGAACUGUCUUACUCCAUUUUACAGCUUAAAUGACGAAUAGUUAAAGAAUCAACUGAACGUAACAGCAUAUUGUAAGGCACUAAUCUGAUACCUCCACACCGUCACCCCACAUCAUACCUCAAACUUAUUCAAGUUUAUUAUGAGUAUAGUAUCUUUACAUCAGUACGUAUAAAAACUCCAGCACUAGAGAACAGCAUAAUGCAAGAAAGUAAGAAACGGAAUUCCUAACUAUCACUCAAGUAAAAUUCUGCUAUGCGCGUGAAUCCUUUUUUUUUUGUCUUUUCUUUUUUUAGAGGCGUGAAUCGAUUUUUUCGGUCCGAUCUGUUGUUCUUGUGCGCCCGUUCGAGCCUCUUCUACGGCCCAGUUUUGCAACGCUCUUCACGGAUGCCAACCCAGUUAUUUUCAGCCUGCCACUCGGGCUUUUCUUCACGUGGACUAUAAUAGUCACGUCAUGCCUCUAAAAUAACAGAAAACUAUAACUUCUACAAGCUUUUUUUUUAGCAUAACUCCCAGUAUUUAAGAUCCGUGCUAUAGUAUAUUGAUAGGAUGGUUAAGAUAAGGUGGGGGAGCAAUCGAACCAUACAUAAAUACCUCGUGACAUGUUGAACCACGGUCUGUAGAUUGUUGAAUUAGUUGUACGAAUUAGUGACUAAGAGGAUCUGGACUACCAGUUGUACGAAAUCCUUGUCAAACUUCUAUCACGAGCAAAAGCUGAAGAUACAGAUGCCGUGGUAACUAAAUUUGGAACAAUGCUUUCAUGCUUCUUGUCAGGAAACAGUUUCCCAUGUGUAGACCCUACAACCAUGCAUGGUGGUUCAAAGAACAAUGCCAAUAUACCUGUGCUCAACAAACAUGUGCUGAGCAUCCUCUUCCUCCCUGCGCCUAAUGACAUACUUCUACAACAGGCUGCACCGAGGAUUAUUAGUUAAAGAGAUGUAACUUAAGCCAUGUUUGACCACUGAUCCAUGGAUCCACCUCCAUUGCGCAAAUUGUUGAAUGCGUAGCCAUCUUGAGUUAUUUUUUUAUGCUUAUUUUAUUCUGCACGCUGCUUAUUUUAUUAUUAAAAGUGAUCGGUCUGCCGGUAGUCGGCAGCGAUGGCUUUGCCGAUCCCGUUCGUAUGUAAGAAUUGGUAUUGAAACCAGUCACCCGUGCUACUUUGUGGGACGAUGGGUAUGGCAGAAAUUAAAAUGUAAGAGUGCCAAUUUAGUUUCAUCCAUGGCUAUGAGCCUUCCUGCAGUGCUGGACUGCUGGUUGACUCAACUGGAAGGGGGCCGUAUUUUUGUCCAGAAUGCAUUUGCAAAGGUGACUGCUUGGGUUUAGUAGUUUCGUAAUCGAUGUAUUGAUAGGAGAGCCAGGAGGGACGACAUAUGUUUGGGGUAGCAGCAUAUCUAAUCAGAGUCAUCUACGUUCACGCGUUCAUACCGGAUCGGAGACGCGACGGGAAAGUCGGAUCAAACUUGGUUAGAAGUGGAGGUGGGGUCCACAUGUCAAUAAUUGAAGUUGGACCAAAUCAAAAAAUUUAGGCAGAAGCAUUGCUUUUAUGUAAGAUUGAAUCAAUAAACCUCGCCAUGAUGGCUUUCCCACGGAAAAAGAAUGAUAUAAUUUUUUGUGUGUGCCUUAUAAUAAAUAGUACAUAGAGAAAAAUAUAUUAAUAUGGAAAAUUGUCGGAUUAGGCCACAUUGUUGCGUUAAAGUUUCUUUUAGAAAAAUACAUGGGUGUCUGGCAGCACUCCCCUCCAAAAAACAGUUCCACUUCACUAGCUCCACAAAAUUGCCUGACAAACACGUUCAGCUCCACAAACUCCAGCUCCAGAAAAAACGUGAAGCUAGGGGUCAGAUCCACAUUUUUCCUGGAGUACCUUAGGGGUGCUCCAAAAACAUCAAUUUCAGACUUUCUUGUGAAGUUGGGUAUUAUUUACCCACCUUUGCCACUCGUUACACAACACCUAAUUUUUCCUUUCUGCUCACUAUCUUCGUUUCCUCCCUCUAUUCAUCCCCUGCCAGCACCGCGCCGCCCUCGCCAGUCGGCGCUACGCUGCCCACGCGGCCCUCGCCUAACGGAGCUGCGCUAGUGCGCUACCGACGCCACCGUCACCCUCCGGAGCUGCACCGCCCUCGCCCUCCUCGGCCGCGGCCACGCUGCCCCUGCUCGCCGCCCCUGCCCACGUCGGUCGCAUGGCCCCUGCUCGUCGGACCUCGCCGCCCCCACCCACUGGGGCCGCGGGGUUGCGCCCUCUUGCUGGCCGGAGCUGCGCCGCCAUCAUUGCCGCCGGAGAGGACGAGGCGGCGGUGCUGCUCGCCUUCAGGCGGGCGUUGGUGGUGGACGACCCGCGCGGCGCACUUGCUGGCUGAGCCCACGCGAACUCCACUGCGACGCUAUGCUUGUGGGCUGGCAUCUCAUGCGCGUCGCCGCCCGACAGCCGUGUCGUCACCCUCAACCUCAACGGCAUGGCACCCACCUGCUAGCUCUGGCCCGACGACGCUCCCCGUGGCUGGCUGCUGCUAGCCGGCCGCAGGGGCGCCGGGGCUGCAGGCACUGCCGACGCUGCUGCUGCUAGCCGACCACGGGGCGCCGGGCUGCAACAGGUCUAGAGAGGACGGCGGCGGUGGCGGGGACAAGGCGCUGCCCUUGGCGUGGAGCUCAGGAUCUGAAAAAGAGAAAGGGGCGAAGAGGAAGGGAGAACAUAGAAGAGGCUGACACAUGGAUCCAUUUACAAAGGGUAAAAUAGGCUAUUCACAACAAGUCUUCAUGUUUGUGGAGCUACGGCACUGCGAUCGGCCAAACACAUACAACAACUCUAGUAUUUUUGUGGAGUUGGUGGAGUGGAGCUUAGGUGGAGUAGAGUUGGUGGAGUGGAGUUAUAAAAUUUUUAGUGGAGUGUUGCCAAACACCCGAGUAUGAAUCCAAAUCUGAGAACAAUCGUGACACGAAAGAGAAAGGAAGGAAUUGUUAUUUGAACGUUCUAUAAUAACAUAUUAAAAUAUAAUUAAAAGAAAAUAAAUGGAAAAAGGAGCGGUCAACCGUGGAGCCCUUCGUUCGGUCGUUCCUAGCAUCGGGUCCAUCGCGUGGACUCGGCCUUUUCUUCACGUGGACUCUAAUAGUCACGUCAUGUCUCUAAAAUAAUGGAAACCUAUAACUUCUACAAGCUUUUUUCUUCCGUAGAUUGUUGAAUUAGUUGUAUGAAAAUGUUGAAACAGGCAGCAGCCAGUCGGACUACCAAGCAGCCUGCCGCCUCCAGCGCAUAUGCCUGUGGCCUGACUAAGAGGAUCUCGACUACGAGUAUUCGUAUAAAGAAACUGCGCAUAUGCUGGCAGUCCGUGAGAUAGGAGAGAGCAUGAGAGAGAUGACGGAUGGGAAAAAGAAGGUGAGCGAACAGUAUGUGGAUGGAGGUCCGGCAAACGUUGGAGAAGAUGCGGCGCUAAUCUACUGAGACCCCACAGCUCGAAAUUGCUACAGAGAUGUCCUUCUGACGUGCCACUAUGGACACCGUGGGUUGGGACGUCUACGCGGCAGUGCAGUGCAGCUGGUCAGUUUUGGAGGCUGGCGACGCAGCACGGUCACCGAACUUUCAUCCAACUGGAUGUUGGAGGAUGACCCGUGGAUAUGGUCGUCAACAAAGUUGGAAGAAGACCUCAUUGACUCAGUGACUUGGAAAUUAAGGCAACAACUAUGCGGACAGCCAUGGAGCACCAUUGACUUAGUGACUUGGAAGAAGACCUCAUUGACUUCUUAGUGACUUGGAAAUUAGGCUAAGUUGGAAGAAGACCUCAUUGACUUGGUGACUUGGAAAUUAGAGACUUGCGAGAUUGAAUCGGCAUUUUAAAUAGCCUUGUUAUUACUCGCUGCAUCAAGGAGCACAGAGCCAAGCUACGCUGACAGCCAUGGAGCACCAUUGCUCCAUCCUACUCGUGGCCUCCCUCCUCCUGCUUGCAUCUCCAGCAUGGACAUCGGCCUCCGCGGGAAGUGACGGCACCGGCGCUGACCACCGUGCGCUCAUGCAGUUCCGGUCCCUCAUCACGGACGACCCAUACGGGGCCUUGGCAUCAUGGGGCGCCGGCAACAUGACCGCGUCGGCGCCGUGCGGGUGGCACGGCGUCACGUGCGGGGUGCGCGGGCACCGCCGCGGCCGCGUGACAGCGCUGGACCUCCGCGGGCUCGGCCUGGCCAGCUCCGGCGCCGCUGCUCCUUCAUCCCUCUCGGGCCUCACCUACCUCCGGCGACUCGACCUCGCCAGGAACCGCCUCGGCGGCGGCGUGCCCUCCCCGUUGCCGCCCUCCCUCGAGCACCUCAAUCUCAGCCAUAAUGCGCUGCAGGGGCCAGUGCCCCCAGCGCUGGGGUCACUGCACCGCCUCCAGGAGCUCAGUCUCGCCUACAACAACCUCACCGGAGCAAUCCCUGCCUCCCUUGGCAACCUCACCUCCCUCACCAUCCUCAGCCUCAGCAAGAACAACCUCACCGGAGCAAUACCUGCCUCCCUUGGCAACCUCACCUCCCUCACCAUCCUCAGCCUCAGCAAGAACAACCUCACCGGAGCAAUCCCUGCCUCCCUUGGCAACCUCACCUCCCUCACCAUCCUCAGCCUCAGCAAGAACAACCUCACCGGAGCAAUACCUGCCUCCCUUGGCAAGCUCACCUCCCUCACCAUCCUCAGCCUCACCAGCAACAACCUCGCCGGCGCCAUCCCUGGCGCUCUCGGCAACCUCGAAGCUCUCACCGGCCUCUACCUCGCCCACAACAACCUCACCGAAGCAAUCCCUACCUCCCUUGGCAACCUCACCUCCCUCACCAUCCUCAGCCUCACCAGCAACAACCUCGCCGGCGCCAUCCCUAGCGCUCUCGGCAACCUCAAAGCUCUCACCGGCCUCUACCUCAGCGGCAACAUGCUCCAAGGAUCCAUACCUUCCGCCGUGUUUAACAUCUCCUCUCUCCACGAACUUGUCGUGCAGUCCAACAACCUCACCGGGACUCUGCCCCCGAACGCCGGUGGCAGGCUGCCCAGACUCACGUGGUUCCUCGUUGACCACAACCGGCUACACGGUGCCAUCCCGCCGUCGCUCUGCAACCUCACCUCCCUCACCAUCCUCAGCCUUAGCAACAACAACCUCACCGACGCCAUCCCUGGCGCUCUCGGCAACCUCAAAGCUCUCACCGGCCUCUACCUCGACCACAACAACCUCACCGAAGCAAUCCCUGCCUCCCUUGGCAACCUCACCUCCCUCACCAUCCUCAGCCUCACCAGCAACAACCUCGCCGGCGCCAUCCCUAGCGCUCUCGGCAACCUCAAAGCUCUCACCGGCCUCUACCUCGGCGGCAACAUGCUCCAAGGAUCCAUACCUUCCGCCGUGUUUAACAUCUCCUCUCUCCAGAAACUUGUCGUGCAGUUCAACAACCUCACCGGGACUCUGCCCCCGAAUGGCAGGCUGCCCAGACUAACGUGGUUCGUCAUUGACUACAACCGGCUACACGGUGCCAUCCCGCCGUCGCUCUGCAACGCCUCCAAGCUGGAGGUGGCAGAGAUGUCAGAUAAUUCCUUCUCCGGAGUCAUACCGGACUGCCUUGGAACUCACCUCAAGAACUUGUGGUCACUGCUACUGGACUCCAACCGGCUGGAAGCAAAUGUUGAUGCUGACUGGGGAUUCAUGGAUAGUCUGACCAACUGCAGCAAUCUGAAGUCCAUUGGCCUGGCUGAAAACAAGCUGGGAGGUGUGCUUCCUGGCUCGAUCGCAAACCUUUCGACGAGCAUGGAGCGCUUGAGCAUGUGGGGCAACAUGGUAAGCGGGCAAAUACCUCAGGAAAUCGGCAACCUUGUCAACUUGAACAUCGUUGCUAUGCAUCUCAAUAACCUUACUGGUAUUAUCCCUACCUCAAUUGGCAAACUUAACAAGCUGAGCAACCUUGCCUUGUCCGGCAACAAGCUAUCAGGGCAAAUCCCACCAACAAUUGGCAAUCUCACCGUGCUCACCAAACUAUCCCUUGAUGACAACAUGCUCACGGGUCCCAUUCCUUCCAGUCUUGGUAGUUGCCCUUUGGAGGCGCUGUCCCUGGAGCACAAUCGCCUUACUGGUCCAAUACCAAAAGAAGUUCUCCUCAUAUCCACGCUUUCCGACUACGCGAGUUUCAAAGGGAACAUGCUAACUGGAUCGUUGCCAUCGGAAGUUGGUCACCUGAAAAAUCUUGUGACCCUUGAUGUGUCUGGAAAUAGGUUAACCGGGGAAAUCCCCAACUCUCUUGGCGAUUGCCAAAUCUUACAGUAUUGCUUUAUGAAAGGGAACAUGUUUCAAGGGAAAAUUCCAGAGUCAUUGGGACAACUGAAGGGCCUCUUGGUUCUUGAUCUUUCAAGCAACAACUUGUCUGGUCAUAUUCCAGACUUCUUUGGUAACGUGAAAGGUCUUCAACAACUGAAUAUCUCCUUCAAUAACUUUGAUGGUGAAGUCCCAAAGCAAGGAAUAUUUCUUAACGCCAGCGCGUUUUCAGUCGAGGGAAACUCUGGCCUCUGUGGAGGUAUUGCUCAGCUGAAAUUGCCACCUUGCUCAGAUAAUGGCAGCACUAGCAGCAAUAAGCGAUCACACAAACUUGUCAUGGUAGUCUCCAUCGCCACUGCCUUUCUAGGAAUCUCCUUGCUCCUUGCACUAUCUGUAUUAUGUCAUCAAAGAAGGAAGUUGAUAAAGGCAGAACAUGCCUUACCACUCAUCAAUGAUCAGUAUGCAAGGGUUUCAUAUGUCAACUUGAUGAAUGCAACAAAUAGUUUUGCUGCUGAAAACCUCAUAGGCAUUGGAAGCUUCGGCUCUGUUUACAAGGGAACAAUGAUAAGCCAUGACCAAGAAGUUUUUGUCGCUGUGAAGGUGCUCAACCUUCAGCAGCGAGGGGCGUCACAAAGUUUCAUUGCAGAAUGUGAGACUCUGAGAUGUGCUCGACAUCGGAACCUUGUGAAAAUCUUGACGGUGUGUUCAAGUAUUGAUUCCGGUGGCCUUGAUUUCAAAGCUAUUGUAUUUGAUUUCCUACCAAAUGGAAAUCUAGACCAGUGGCUACACCACCGUCUCAGGGAACAUGGCACCCAUAGUAGGAUUGAUCUUGUCCAACGGAUAGACAUUGCCAUUCAUGUCGCUUCUGCACUCGAAUAUCUUCACCACUAUAAACCAACCCCGAUAGUUCAUUGUGAUCUCAAGCCAAGCAAUAUUCUCCUUGACAAUGACAUGGUUGCCCAUGUUGGUGAUUUUGGGCUCGCAAGAUUUGUGCAUCAAGACCAGACUAACCCCUCAGAUAUAUCAAGUGGUUGGGCUACAAGAAGGGGAACCAUUGGAUAUGCUCCUCCAGGUCAGGUUCUAACAAGUACACUGCAUUUUACUUUCAUUUAACAUUGUAGCUGUAGCAUUGCUGAUAGUCUUCAUUCAGUUGCUGAAUAUGUGUGUUCCAAACAGAGUAUGGACUGGGUAACGAAGUCUCAAUCUAUGGUGACAUGUACAGCUUCGGACUACUAUUGUUGGAAAUUUUCACAGGAAAAAGACCAACAGAUAGCGACUUCGUGCAAGACCUCAACCUUCAUAGGUACGUGCAAAUAGCACUGCAAGAUCAGCAAGUCACCAGUGUGGUAGAUCAACAGUUACUGCCAGUACAAGAUCCGGAACUCGAAGGGAGAACAAGCAGCUCCAGUAGCACCAGAGAAAUGAUAGUUGCCUGUGUUACUUCACUUCUGCAGAUCGGAAUUCUGUGCUCGAAGGAACUUCCAAAAGACCGCUUGCUGAUUGGUGAUGCCUUGAGAGAGCUUCACAGAAUCAAAGACAAUUAUAACCAGUUGCACUUAUUAAGUACGUAGAACUUUCUGAAACACAGGAUUUCCAUAUCCAGAACCAUUUUACAGUAUUCCGUGAUCAGAACAGAUACCAGGUCCUUGACUGCACUCAACCAAGUGCUGUGCUUUUUACUUUUAAAAAGACAUGAAAGCUUAGGAUUGACGUUGCAUACACAAUGGACGCCAGUAUCGCAUCCACCUGCACAUCAGGGUCUAGAGUACGUUGUUAGAUUAUCUUAAUAUAUGAUGUGGCCCAUGUAAUUAAAGAGAAUGAUUUUCAUAUGAAAAGAUCGCAGUGUGUGUUUCUUUGAAGAUCUAUGAAUGUUUUACUCCAAUUAUUCAGAGAUACGUUGUUUUGCUUUCUACAUACUAAUACAUACUCAUAAGGCAACUUUUUGCAUCCAACUUCUACUUUGGCAUUAUGCGGUUAUGCCUGUCAUCAUGCAAUCUGCAGAAAUAGAUGAAUGGUAUAAAUGGAGGGAAAAGAGAGGUAAAGCUCUUGUUCCAAACCUGAUGAAGUUCUCAUCAGUCACCCAUAAUAAACUGUUCAGCAACAAAAACAUGCAUGAUGCAUUGUUAUAUUUUUAAAAGAAAUGAUGCAUCAUUAUGGAUUCUACUGCCUGCUGGCAUGUUUAACCAAUACUACAUUUUCUGCUUCACCAAUUCACUUUGUUCUUCUCAUGAACUUUUGAGUAAGAUCUUUGAGCGCUUGCCUUGAGUUAAGCACAACUUGAUCCUCACUAUCAGGAAGAUCAUCGAUAGCGCUUGUCGAAGGAUUUGGGGACAAUUCAACUCAGGAGUAUUUCCUCUCCUGGUGCCUUUUCUUAUCACCACUCUUUUACAUUUUAACCCUACAUAUAUAUCUACACACACCAACACUCCCCCUCAAGAUGGGCAGUAUAUAUCUAUCAUGCCCAUCUUGUCACACGAAGACACACACUCCUUAACACUCAACCCUUUUGUUAGACAAUCAGCAAUUUGUCCCUUAGAAGUUACAAACCCUAGACUUAAAGUUCUAUCAUCAAUCCUUUCUCUAAUAAAGAAGCGGUUGAUCUCCACAUGUUUGGUUUGAUCAUGUUGAACUGGAUUGUUGGCAAUGUUAAUAGCUGAUUUGUUAUCACACGAAAGCUUCAUAGGCCUGCCCUCCUGGAGUUUUAACUCAGUUAGAAGAUUUUUUCCCACAAUAGUUCACUCAGACUCUAUGACAUAGCCCUAUACUCAGCUUCUGCAGUGGAGCGUGAUACAACAGGUUGUUUCUUGCUUCUCCAAGUCACCAAGUUACCACCAACAAAUACACAAUAGCCUGAAGUUGAUCUUCUGUCAUCAGGGCAACUUGCCCAAUCUACAUCACAAUAACCUUCCACAUUCAGAUGUCCAUUUUUUUUGAACAACAAAUCUUUGCCUGGAUUCUUCUUUAAAUAUCUCAAGAUUCUAUAGACUGCAUCCAUGUGAUCACUCCUUGGGUCAUGCAUGUAUCUGCUUACUACACUCACAGCAUAUGUUAUAUCAGGUCUUGUAUGACAUAGAUAGAUGAGGCGCCCCACAAGUCUUUGAUAUCUCUCCUUAUCUACAGGAUGUCCAGAUUCAGCAUCCAAUUUGUGGUUUUGCUCUAUUGGUGUAGUGACUGAAUGACACCCAAGCAUACCUAUCUCAUCCAGUAGAUCCAGAACAUAUUUCCGUUGUGAGAGCACAAUCCCUCUAGGAGAUCUUACUACUUCAAUCCCUAGAAAAUAUCGAAGUUGUCCCAAAUCUUUAAUUUCAAAUUCCCUUCUCAAAUUCUCCUUCAAUCUCACCACCUCCAAAGUAUCAUCUCCAGUGAUAAUAAUAUUAUCAACAUAGACAGCUAGGAUGGUUAUGUGAUUUUUGGAACAUAGAUAGAACAGAGUAUGAUCACCAUUACACUGCUUAUAUCCCAUAGCAAGCAUUGCACGUUUAAACCUAUCAAACCACGCUCUUGGCGAUUGUUUUAGUCCAUAUAAAGAUUUUUUCAAUCUUAGCACCAUACCUUCUGUUUCAGUAGUAGUGAAUCCAGGUGGGAUCUCCAUAUAAACCUCCUCUUUAAGAUCACCAUGAAGGAAUGCAUUUUUAACAUCUAAUUGAUAUAAUGGCCAAUCAGAUUUAGCAGCACAGGAAAUCAAGGUCCUCACGGUACUCAUUUUUGCAACCGGUGCAAAUGUCUCAUCAUAGUCAAUCCCAUAUGUCUGGCUGUACCCUUUUGCUACCAGCCUUGCCUUAUAUCUCUCCACUUUUCCUUCAGGGUUUUGUUUCACAGUAUAUACCCAUUUACAGUCAACCACCUUCUUCCCAGGAGGAGAAGGUAUGAGCUCCCAUGUGUCAUUUUUCUCAAGUGCUGCCAAUUCUUCAAGCAUUGCCUUUUUCCAUUUUGGAUCUUGCUUUGUUUCUUUCCAGUUUUUUGGAAUUUGUACAGAUUGCAAGGUUGUCAUAAAUGCUCAGUACUCAGAUGGUAAUGACCCAUAUGACACAUAAUUACUUACCUCAUUGCUAUGCUCACCUUCACAAUUAUCUUCAAAGCCAUAUCUCACUGGAGGUUUACCUGUAGUGCUCCUUGCUUCUCUUCUUAGAGCAAUAGGUAAGUCAUUCAAGUGAUCCCUUAUCUCUCCCCCUGACUCAGACAACUAGUCAUUCUCAUUAUCACCUGAGUGAACUUGGUCACUUUCAACUUCAUCAACAAUAGUGGUGGGUUGUAUGGGAUUUUCUCUCCUUCUUCUCGUAUAUACUCGUAGAUUCCUCUCUGUAGGAGACUGUUGUACUCUCCCUUCCUGUAUAGUGUCAUUCACUUUAACUGAAUUUGGUAUUAGACCAACCAUAACUCUCUUCUCAUUUGCUUGUGUCUCAACUCUACACUCCAUUUGCUCACUAUCUUCUGAUCCAAUUGGAGGGUCUAAAUCAAUGAAUAAAGAACUUAAAUCAGUCUUCUCACCAUAGAAAGGAACUGAUUCCCUAAAAGUCACAUCCAUACUUACAAACAUAUGAUGCUCAGAUGGGCUCCAACACUUAUAUCCUUUUUGUCCUGAUGAGUAUCCCACAAAAAUACACUUGAUAGCUUGAGAAUCUAGCUUUCCAACCCCCGGUCUAUGAUCUCUAACAAAACAUGUGCAUCCAAAGAUUUUGGGUGGAACCAAGAACUCAUUUUUUCCAAAUAACGUUUCACAAGGAGAUUUCAUGCCAAGUAUCCUUGAUGGCAUACGGUUUAUCAAGUGAAUAGCAGUCAAGACUGCCUCACUCCAAAGGAACUUAGGCACAUUCAUUGUAUACAUAAGUGAACGAGUUACCUCCAGAAGAUGCCUAUUCUUCCUUUCAGCCACUUCAUUUUGUGGUGGGGUAUCAGGGCAUGAAGUCUGGUGUAGAAUUCCUUCUCUUGAAAGGAAAUCCUAAAAUUCCUUAUUCACAUAUUCAGUUCCAUUAUCACUCUGGAUAAUUUGAAUUUAAGUGCCAAACUGAUUUUUUACAUAAGCAUAGAAAGCCUUAAAACAUUCAAGUACCUCACUUUUAUGUUUCAUUAAAUAUACCCAUGUCAUAUGAGAAUAACAGUCAAUAAAGGUAACAAAAUAUUUUGCCCCACUUAUAGCAGUGACCGGAGAAGUCCACACAUCUGAAUGGAUUAAUAUAAAAGGUGAUAAACUUCUUAAACCCCUGCUCACUAUGAGCUUCUAGUGUGCUUCCCAUACUCACAAGCAUCACACAUUAAAUUACUCUUAUUCACCUUAGACAUUUCAUGAGGGAACAUUUUGCUCAUGACAUCAAAAGAUACAUAUCCUAAACGACAAUGCAACAACAUCACCUUAGCUUCAUCUUCACUAGCUGAUAGGGAAAAAUAGACUUCUUCUUUUGUCUUGCUUCUAUCAAGAUACCAAAGCCCAUCAUGCCAAGUUCCAACUCCAAGAUUUCUUCCGGUCCUCCUUUCCUGAAUUAAACCAUUUUCACGAUCAAGAAGCACCCGACAGUCCAUUUGAUCAAUCAACGAGCUUAUUGAAAUAAGAUUUACAGGAAAGGAUGGCACAUGUAAUACUGAUGAUAAGGUAAUAGAUGGUGUGCAUUGAACUGUCCCAACACCUCUAAUAGAACAAGAGGUUCCAUAUGCAGUUUUGAUUGUCCCCUUAUAAGAAUGUGAGUAUGGUGUAUAAGAUGUAAAUUCAUUUACCUUACCCGUGACAUGCCUUGAUGCACCUGAAUCUAAUAUCCAAUUGGAUAUAUAAUUUUGGUUGAAUGUACCUAAGUCUGAGUGAACCACAUCAGCAACAGUGUCACUCGAGGAUGUUGUUUCUUGAUUGUUUAGUUGAGAACCCUUUCCAAUUUCCUUCCACUUCCUGAACUCAUCUAGCUCAUUUGGCAAAACUGUAACUGAUUCUGUAGCACACCCAUCUGACAUUGCAUGAUUAGCUCUAAAGCUUACUCUUCCACCACGACUUGAACCUCCUUGGCUAGUACCACCUCUUAACAUACCUCUGCCUUGACCCCUACCACGAUUUGGUUUUAGUGGCUGCCGGCAAUCACGAAUCAAAUGCCCCUUUUCACCACAAUUAUAACAAAUUCUGGUCUCUUGGGGCCCUGCUACCACAUAAGCUUGACUUGGUGAAUUUAAGGUGUGACCCUUUAUCACUUUGAGUCUUGUCUCCUCCUGUGCCAUAGCAGCAAUAGCUUCUUCAAGACUAGGGAGAUUAGCUUGAUGGAAUAAUACAGCACAUCUUCCUUCAAAUUUUGGAUUUAGGCCCCUCAAAAACUGAAGGACCCUUUUCUUCUCUACCCACUUCUUCACCCAAGCCACACAUUCAGGGUGAGGUAACUCAAUAGGAUCAUAAUGAUCUAAGUCAGCCCAUAGUCGCUUCAAUUCUGCAACAUAAUCCAUCAAAGUAUGCUCCCCCUGUUUCAGAUAAUGUAUUUUAUCAUCUGUAUCUGCCAACAGCAUCACAUUCCCAACACCUGAGUACAUGCUUGCAAGAGCCUUCCAUAUCUCCAAGGCAGAAGCAAUAGUAUCAACAGAACCCGCAAUUGUUGAGGUUAUAGAAUUGAAUAACCAAGUAACCACUAAAGCAUUAGUGGCAUUCCAAUUCUUCCAGUCACUGCUCAACUUAUCUCUAGGUUCAGUUUUUUCCCCAUUGAUGAAGCCCUCGAGCUUCUUUGAUUGCAACAGUAACAAUGCUCUUCUGGACCAAGCCAAAUAGUUUUUCAUGCCUUCCAACUUGAUAUCAAGAGGCAUCAACUCCAAUUUUUGAACCAUAUCAAUCUCUUUAUUUGAGGACGGGACAUCAUCCUUCUUUGCAGUGAGUAGUUCCACCAAUUUCCCAAGAACAUUUUCAAUUCCUUGAUUCUCUGCCAUAACAGCGGCUUUGGAACCCCUUGCUUCCUCACAACAACACUUUCUUCCUCCAGAUGCAGUAUAGUUGUUGCUCCUCCACAAACCAGCACAGAUCCUCUGAAUUGGCUUGGAAACCAGCAACGACCAGCAACUCAACUGCUCCCUGCUCCCUUCUCUCUCUGCCAGCGACCAGCAACUCAACUUCUCUGCCAAAACCACCAGCAGCUCCACCUUGCAUGCCUCCCCAACACGCAGCUCGAUCUGGGGCCUCCGCCGGCCUGCGUCCCUCAGCACGAGCAGCCACGCAGCCACUCCAGCUCCUGCUCGCCAGCCACCUGCUGCUCCUCCGCUGGGCCCCCUGCUCCUGCUGCUCCUCCGCCGCCCGUGGGCUCCCCGGCCGGUGUCGCGGCCGCCUAGAGCUCCAGCACGGGCAGAUCCGCGCCACCGCUACGAUUUGCGGCAUUGGGGAAGCAGCGCCGCAAGGACGCCCGCCGCCAUUGGAUCCGCUCACACACGACGCAGCACCGCCCUCUCCUCCAGCUCCUGCUCGCCGGCCGACGUCACGCUAACGAGGCCCUCACCAUCGCCACCAACAUCGCCCCCAGCCCUAGCCCUGAUACCAUGUCGAAGGAUUUGGGGACAAAUCAACUCAGGAGUAUUUCCUCUCCUGGUGCCUUUUCUUAUCACCACUCUUUUACAUUUUAGUCCUGCAUAUAUAUAUCAAUAUUACAUACACACACCAACAGCGCUCGCUGCCAGUUUUGCAUGUUCAGCAGCAAGGGACCUCGUCCUCUCGAUUCCCUGACUUUUUGAAAGGUAUUUGAGGGCCUACAAGUGUAAAAUUGAGCAGUUCUGAGACCACACUAGAUAAUUUAUGAGCAUUUCACAACCCAAAUAGUUGGAUUAUAUUACUGGAAACAAAGAAAAGUAAACUUUCCUUUCAAAAAAAAAUACACUUGCAAUACGAACCGUCUUAACAUUUAAAGGGUCAUCAAAUCCCUGUUCAACAAUCUCAUGCAGUUCAGGGAAUUCUUCCAUCGCAAAAAGUACGGGAGCUGUCACAAUUCCCUGUCCAUACAGGGCAUAUAUGAUUCCUUACAUGUCAUUGAUAUGUUAAAAAGUAAAAUACUACUGAGGAAAUAUUGAGUGAAUAACUGUAUUACUUGAUGGAUAUCAGACAAGAGGCUUUGCCUAGUGAAGCUGAUGUGCCUGUGAAAUCGAGGAUGUCAUCGAUCAACUGAUAUGCUAUGCCCUGGAAGAGAGAGUGCAGGUCAUCUUAACAGUUCAUGUGUCUAGCAAAAAUAGGAACAGCUUCUGUGUAAGGAAAAAUACAACACACCAAGUGUCUGCCAUACUGAUAAGCAAGAGCUUGUACUUCUGUUGUUUGCUCAGCAAGGACAGAAAUAGCUUUGCAGCUGUUUGAAAUCAAUGCAGCUGUCUUGUAGUAUGUCUUCUGCAAAUAAUAGUCCAUGCUGUACAAGCAUCCACCAACAGGUGUCACAUUAAGUAAAAUAUUAGAAAGUGUUGAUUGUCAUGGCUUGAUGAACUCAUCUAGCAUUCCUUUCUUUUCUUGAAUCUGCUCGAUCCAGAACAAGGUUAUCCAAGUUUUUAGUAGAUAGAUUAGCACCAAUGAUCUAUUUAAUUGUGAUUGGCAUUAUAUUAAGUAGUGAAUACUUUUCCUGGACUUUGAUUUGAUGAUAGUUGAUGAAAAGUAACGUCAGUACAUAUCCACUCUAAGCUAAACAGCUACUUGCACACAUAUGACAGCCCAAAUAAUGAAGAGUUAAAGAAUCAACUGAGCAUAACAACACAUUCUAAGGCACUAAUCUG
rnacentral:lncRNA from 1 species